rnacentral:rRNA from 1 species
GACGAACGCUGGCGGCGUGCUUAACACAUGCAAGUCGAACGGAAAGGCCCUGCUUGUGUGGGGUGCUCGAGUGGCGAACGGGUGAGUAGCACGUGAGUAACCCGCCCUUGACUUGGGGAUAACUGCAGGAAACUGGGGCUAAUACCGGAUAGGAGCUCCUGCUGCUGGGUGGGGGUUGGAAAGUUUCGUCGGUUGGGGAUGGACUCGCGGCUUAUCGGCUUGUUGGUGGGGUAGUGGCUAACCAAGGCUUUGACGGGUAGCCGGCCUGAGAGGGUGACCGGCCAAAUUGGGACGGGAAUACGGCCAGGCCUCUACCGGGAGGCGGCGGUGGGGAUUAUGCAACAUUGGGCGGAGCCCUAUUCCGGGAACGCCGGGUGGGGAAGAACGGCUUUGGGUUGGUAACCCGCUUCGGCCUGUACCGAGGCGUGAGUGACGGUAAUGGGAUAAGAAGCACCGGCUAACUACGUG